GAUGAACGCUGGCGGCGUGCCUAAUACAUGCCAGUCGAGCGAACAGACGAGGAGCUUGCUCCUCUGACGUUAGCGGCGGACGGGUGAGUAACACGUGGAUAACCUACCUAUAAGACUGGGAUAACUUCGGGAAACCGGAGCUAAUACCGGAUAAUAUAUUGAACCGCAUGGUUCAAUAGUGAAAGACGGUUUUGCUGUCACUUAUAGAUGGAUCCGCGCCGCAUUAGCUAGUUGGUAAGGUAACGGCUUACCAAGGCAACGAUGCGUAGCCGACCUGAGAGGGUGAUCGGCCACACUGGAACUGAGACACGGUCCAGACUCCUACGGGAGGCAGCAGUAGGGAAUCUUCCGCAAUGGGCGAAAGCCUGACGGAGCAACGCCGCGUGAGUGAUGAAGGACUUCGGAUCGUAAAACUCUGUUAUUAGGGAAGAACAAAUGUGUAAGUAACUAUGCACGUCUUGACGGUACCUAAUCAGAAAGCCACGGCUAACUACGUG
rnacentral:rRNA from 1 species